UAUGGGGGGGUGCUAUACAUGCAAGUCGAGCGGACAGAUGGGAGCUUGCUCCCUGAUGUUAGCGGCGGACGGGUGAGUAACACGUGGGUAACCUGCCUGUAAGACUGGGAUAACUCCGGGAAACCGGGGCUAAUACCGGAUGGUUGUUUGAACCGCAUGGUUCAAACAUAAAAGGUGGCUUCGGCUACCACUUACAGAUGGACCCGCGGCGCAUUAGCUAGUUGGUGAGGUAACGGCUCACCAAGGCAACGAUGCGUAGCCGACCUGAGAGGGUGAUCGGCCACACUGGGACUGAGACACGGCCCAGACUCCUACGGGAGGCAGCAGUAGGGAAUCUUCCGCAAUGGACGAAAGUCUGACGGAGCAACGCCGCGUGAGUGAUGAAGGUUUUCGGAUCGUAAAGCUCUGUUGUUAGGGAAGAACAAGUACCGUUCGAAUAGGGCGGUACCUUGACGGUACCUAACCAGAAAGCCACGGCUAACUACGUGCCAGCAGCCGCGGUAAUACGUAGGUGGCAAGCGUUGUCCGGAAUUAUUGGGCGUAAAGGGCUCGCAGGCGGUUUCUUAAGUCUGAUGUGAAAGCCCCCGGCUCAACCGGGGAGGGUCAUUGGAAACUGGGGAACUUGAGUGCAGAAGAGGAGAGUGGAAUUCCACGUGUAGCGGUGAAAUGCGUAGAGAUGUGGAGGAACACCAGUGGCGAAGGCGACUCUCUGGUCUGUAACUGACGCUGAGGAGCGAAAGCGUGGGGAGCGAACAGGAUUAGAUACCCUGGUAGUCCACGCCGUAAACGAUGAGUGCUAA
rnacentral:rRNA from 1 species